rnacentral:rRNA from 1 species
GACGAACGCUGGCGGCGUGCCUAAUACAUGCAAGUAGAACGCAGUUGCGAACGGGUGAGUAACGCGUAGGUAACUGCCUCAUAGCGGGGGAUAACUAUUGGAAACGAUAGCUAAUACCGCAUACUGUGAGAUGGACCUGCGUUGUAUUAGCUAGUUGGUGAGGUAAAGGCUCACCAAAGCGACGAUACAUAGCCGGCCUGAGAGGGAGAUCGGACAAACUGGGACGGGGAAACGGGCCCGAAUCCUACGGGAGGGAGCAGUAGGGAAAUUUCGGCAAUGGACGGAAAGCUGACCGAGCAACGCCGGGUGAGGGAAGGAGGUUUUCGGAACGUAAAGCUAUGUUGUGAGAGAAGCGGUAACUAAAGAGAAAGGAACGGCUAACUACGUGCCAGCAGCCGCGGUAAUAC